UUGUUUUAAAAGAAGGGAAUUAAAUGAUCACGAAGGUGGUUUUCCCAGGGCGAGGCUCAUCCAUUGCCCUCCGGAAGUGCUGACCCCUGCGAUUUCCCCAGAUGUGGAAAAUUCGCCUGCAUGAUUUGUGGUAGUGGGGGACUGCACUCGUGCUCUCCCCUG
ensembl:snRNA U1 U1 spliceosomal RNA